rnacentral:rRNA from 1 species
CAAUAGCGUAUAUUAAAGCUGUUGCGGUUAAAAAGCUCGUAGUUGGAUUUCCGUCAAGGACAACUGGUCCGCCCCUCGGGUGAGCACAUAGUUUGGUCUUGGCAUCUUGUUGGAAACUGUUGCUGCACUUGGUUGUGUGGCGCAGUGUCCAGCACUUUCACUUUGAGGAAAUUGGAGUGUUUCAAGCAGGCACAUGCCUUUGGACACAGUAGCAUGGAAUAAUUAGAUUGGGCUUUUGCUCCAACUUGUCGGUUUCUGGAGCUGAGGUGAGAAUUAAUGGGGAUUGUUGGGGGCAUCCGAAUUUAGCCGUCAGAGGUGAAAUUCUUGGAUCUGCUAAAGACGGACAACUGCGAAAGCGUUUGCCCAGGAUGUUUUCAUUGA